UCUUUUAUGGGGUGACUGCGUACCUUUUGUAUAAUGGGUCAGCGACUUAUAUUCUGUAGCAAGGUUAACCGAAUAGGGGAGCCGAAGGGAAACCGAGUCUUAACUGGGCGUUAAGUUGCAGGGUAUAGACCCGAAACCCGGUGAUCUAGCCAUGGGCAGGUUGAAGGUUGGGUAACACUAACUGGAGGACCGAACCGACUAAUGUUGAAAAAUUAGCGGAUGACUUGUGGCUGGGGGUGAAAGGCCAAUCAAACCGGGAGAUAGCUGGUUCUCCCCGAAAGCUAUUUAGGUAGCGCCUCGUGAAUUCAUCUCCGGGGGUAGAGCACUGUUUCGGCAAGGGGGUCAUCCCGACUUACCAACCCGAUGCAAACUGCGAAUACCGGAGAAUGUUAUCACGGGAGACACACGGCGGGUGCUAACGUCCGUCGUGAAGAGGGAAACAACCCAGACCGCCAGCUAAGGUCCCAAAGUCAUGGUUAAGUGGGAAACGAUGUGGGAAGGCCCAGACAGCCAGGAUGUUGGCUUAGAAGCAGCCAUCAUUUAAAGAAAGCGUAAUAGCUCACUGGUCGAGUCGGCCUGCGCGGAAGAUGUAACGGGGCUAAACCAUGCAC
rnacentral:rRNA from 1 species